GGCUACCUAGCGCAAUGGUAGCGCGUUUGGCUUCGAUUGCUGAAUGGUUACCAAAAGGUUGCAGGUUCGAGUCCUGCGGUGGUCA
rnacentral:tRNA from 1 species